UACGAAGGGGGCUAGCGUUGUUCAGAAUUACUGGGCGUAAAGCGCAUGUAGGCGGAUAUUUAAGUCAGGGGUGAAAUCCCAGAGCUCAACUCUAGAACUGCCUUUGAUACUGGGUAUCUCGAGUAUGGAAGAGGUGAGUGGAAUUCCGAGUGUAGAGGUGAAAUUCGUAGAUAUUCGGAGGAACACCAGUGGCGAAGGCGGCUCACUGGUCCGAUACUGACGCUGAGGUGCGAAAGCGUGGGGAGCAAACAGG
rnacentral:rRNA from 1 species